rnacentral:rRNA from 1 species
UACGGGGGGGGCAAGCGUUGUUCGGAAUUACUGGGCGUAAAGGGCUCGUAGGCGGCCAACUAAGUCAGACGUGAAAUCCCUCGGCUUAACCGGGGAACUGCGUCUGAUACUGGAUGGCUUGAGGUUGGGAGAGGGAUGCGGAAUUCCAGGUGUAGCGGUGAAAUGCGUAAAUAUCUGGAGGAACACCGGUGGCGAAGGCGGCAUCCUGGACCAAUUCUGACGCUGAGGAGCGAAAGCCAGGGGAGCAAACGGG